AGAUAAUCAAAAUCAUUAUAGAGUUUAUAUAAAUACUCAUAAAACAUAUGUUUAAAUCGGUACAGUCCGUAUCACUGAUACUACUUUCUCUUUUCUUUCAGUUUAACAAGUCGUAUGGAUUACUGGGAAGGCUUAAUUCCAUUAUCGUUUUCUAGUUGGAUCGGACACGUUAUCUGUUACAUUGGAACUCGUGAUGUCGCAUUAACCAAGAGGAAAUGAUUGGCUAUGCCUGGACUUAUAUAUACUCUGACUCACUCUGAUUGGUUCUUUGUUUUUACUGUUUUUUUUCUUUGCU